rnacentral:rRNA from 1 species
CGCCUGUUUAUUAAAAACAUUGUUUUUUAUUUUUAUUUAAAAUAAAAUCUGCCCAGUGAACAAUAUUUUAACGGCCGCAGUAUUUUGACUGUGCUAAGGUAGCAUAAUAGUUAGAUUUUUAAUUUAAAUCUAGAAUGAAUGAUUUAAUGAAGAAAAAACUUUUUUAUUUUAAUUUAUGAAUUUUAUAUUUUAGUAAAAAAGCUAAAAUUUUAAAAUAGGACGAGAAGACCCUAUAGAAUUUUAUAAUAUUAAAUAAUUUAUAUUUUUAUUAUUUUUAUUUAUUAUUUUUAUUUAUUUUAUUGGGGCGAUAAUUAAAUUUAAUUAACUUUUAUAAAUUAUAUCAUUAAUAAAUGUAUUAUUGAUCUUUUUAUAUUGAUUAAAAAAUUAAAUUACCUUAGGGAUAACAGCAUAAUUUUAUUAAAAAGUUCUUAUUUUUAAUAAUGUUUAUGACCUCGAUGUUGGAUUAAAUUAAUUUUUAUUUGAAGAAAUAUAAAAAAUAA